ACCUGGAAUGCAUGCUGGGUUAGCAGGACCUUCAUGAAUCUGAUGACCACUGAUGCCUUAACAAAUCACCAUGCCUUUGAUGAUAAAGUGGGAGAAGGAAGUCUUUAAUUGCCUUCCAGUUGCCAUCAUGAAGAUCUGUUAUUUACAGGGUGCAGUGGGGCUGUGCCAGUCACACCGUGCAGCUUCCCUGAUGACUCUCCCAAAAUGCCACAAUGAGACUAUCACAUAAAGAAGCUGAUCUACUC
rnacentral:lncRNA from 1 species